rnacentral:rRNA from 1 species
AGAGUUUGAUCCUGGCUCAGAUUGAACGCUGGCGGCAUGCCUUACACAUGCAAGUCGAACGGUAACGCAGGGCAACCUGGCGACGAGUGGCGAACGGGUGAGUAACGCAUCGGAACGUGCCCAGUAGUGGGGGAUAGCCCGGCGAAAGCCGGAUUAAUACCGCAUACGACCUACGGGUGAAAGCGGGGGACCGUAAGGCCUCGCGCUAUUGGAGCGGCCGAUGUCAGAUUAGGUAGUUGGUGGGGUAAAAGCCUACCAAGCCGACGAUCUGUAGCUGGUCUGAGAGGACGACCAGCCACACUGGGACUGAGACACGGCCCAGACUCCUACGGGAGGCAGCAGUGGGGAAUUUUGGACAAUGGGCGCAAGCCUGAUCCAGCCAUGCCGCGUGCGGGAUGAAGGCCUUCGGGUUGUAAACCGCUUUUGUCAGGGAAGAAACGCUCCGGGCCAAUACCCCGGGGUAAUGACGGUACCUGAAGAAAAGCACCGGCUAACUACGUGCCAGCAGCCGCGGUAAUACGUAGGGUGCAAGCGUUAAUCGGAAUUACUGGGCGUAAAGCGUGCGCAGGCGGUUUUGUAAGACAGAGGUGAAAUCCCCGGG